UGGGGAAUUUUGGACAAUGGGGGAAACCCUGAUCCAGCCAUCCCGCGUGUGCGAUGAAGGCCUUCGGGUUGUAAAGCACUUUUGGCAGGAAAGAAACGUCAUGGGUUAAUACCCCGUGAAACUGACGGUACCUGCAGAAUAAGCACCGGCUAACUACGUUCCAGCAGCCGCGGUAAUACGUAGGGUGCAAGCGUUAAUCGGAAUUACUGGGCGUAAAGCGUGCGCAGGCGGUUCGGAAAGAAAGAUGUGAAAUCCCAGAGCUCAACUUUGGAACUGCAUUUUUAACUACCGGGCUAGAGUGUGUCAGAGGGAGGUGGAAUUCCGCGUGUAGCAGUGAAAUGCGUAGAUAUGCGGAGGAACACCGAUGGCGAAGGCAGCAUCCUGGGAUAACACUGACGCUCAUGCACGAAAGCGUGGGGAGCAAACAGG
rnacentral:rRNA from 1 species